rnacentral:sRNA from 1 species
UGCAUCUGCAGCCCAUGAGGAUGAGAACCUCCGGGGGCAGGGAGGUUCGACUCGAGCGAAGCGAGAGAACGUUGCGCCAGCAACGGCCCGCAGGGCGAG